GAGAAUAUAGAGUGUUUUAUUCUGCUCAGGCUGCUAUAACAAAAUACCAUAGGCUGCAGGGCUUCAACAAUAGACAUUUGUUAAUAUUUCUUCUGAAAGUUGGGAAGUCCAAGAUUGAGGUGCUGGCAGAUUCUGUGUCUAGUGAGGGCCACUUUCUGGCUCGUAGACAACCAUCUUCUCCUUGUGUCCUCACAUGGCAAAAGGAAAGAACUCUGACCAUUUCAGAGUUCUGUGUAAAAGCACUAAUCCCAUUCAUGAAGACUCCACUAUCAUGAUGUAAUUACUUUUCAAAGGCCCUGCCUCCUUAUACCAUCACACUGGGGGGUUAGGGUUGCAGCAUAUGAAUUGGAAACUAGGGAACACAUUUUGUCUAUGGUACUAACCCACAUCCAAUUCAUGAGCAAAUCCAUAGGCUCCACCUUCAACAUUUAUUCAGAAGUUAACUUUGAUCACCACCUCCACAGCCACCAUCUUAGUCCAGGACAUCAUCAUCUCUUACUUGGAUUAUUGCAGUAGCUUAACUUGUCCCCCUGACUGUGCCAUUUCUAAGGCAGUCUGUCCUCAACCCAGCAGGUGAGAGUGAGUGAUCCUUUUCAAGUAGAAGUCAGAUCACCUUACGUCUCUGCUCAAAUAUUCUCCAGUGGCUCCCAUCUCACUUUGAGUAAAAGCUGAAGUUCUGGCCGGGCAUGGUGGCUCAUACCUGUAAUCCCAGUACUUUGGGAGGCCGAGGUGGGUGAAUCACUUGAGGCCAGGAGUUUGAGACCAGCCUGGCCAACAUGGCGAAACGCUGCCUCUACUAAAAACACAAAAAUUAGCUGGGCGUGGUGGUGCACUCCUGUAAUCCCAGCUUCUUGGGAGGCUGAGGCAGGAGAAUCUCUUGAAGCCGUGAGAUGAAGGUUGCAGUAAGCCCAGAUGGCACCACUGCACCCCAGCCUGGGUGACAGAGUGAGACACUGCCAAAAAGAAAAGAAAGAAAAGGAAGGAAGGAAGGAAGGAAGGAAGGAAGGAAGGAAGGAAGGAAGGAAGGAAGGAAGGGGAAAGGAAAAGAGAAGAAAAGAAAAGAAAAAAAGAAAAAAAAAAGCCAAAGUUCUUACUAUGAUCUACUAGUUGUCUUAGCUCUGGUUUCCUCCCCACCCAAAGUAGAGCCUGGUAUAGGGCUGUGUGCAGGUAGUUUAUGGUUAAAAAUGAUUCCCCAAAUGAAGACUGUUUGAAAAGUGAAACAAGGAAGGAAGGAAAGGAAAUCCAAGUGUGUGUUAUUGAGCUGACCUCCACAAUGGGCAAAAUUGGAGCUGGGUCCCUCUGAGGAAUCUCAACAAGCUAUCUCUGUAUUCCCUCAGAAUGGUCCUUUCUGGAGGCGAGCAAGUCCAAGAUCAAAGCACUGGCAGCUUCUUUGAGGGUCUGUUCCAGUAAAAGCAUCUUCUUGCAACAACAUCCUCACAUGACAGAGGGGGGAAGGGCAACAGGACAUGAAUGCUG
rnacentral:lncRNA from 10 species